rnacentral:rRNA from 1 species
GAUGAACGCUGGCGGCGUGCCUAAUACAUGCAAGUCGAGCGGACAGACGAGGAGCUUGCUCCUUCGACGUUAGCGGCGGACGGGUGAGUAACACGUAGGUAACCUACCUAUAAGACUGGGAUAACUUCGGGAAACUGGAGCUAAUACCGGAUAAUAUUUCGAACCGCAUGGUUCGAUAGUGAAAGAUGGCUUUGCUAUCACUUAUAGAUGGACCUGCGCUGUAUUAGCUAGUUGGUAAGGUAACGGCUUACCAAGGCAACGAUACGUAGCCGACCUGAGAGGGUGAUCGGCCACACUGGAACUGAGACACGGUCCAGACUCCUACGGGAGGCAGCAGUAGGGAAUCUUCCGCAAUGGGCGAAAGCCUGACGGAGCAACGCCGCGUGAGUGAUGAAGGUCUUCGGAUCGUAAAACUCUGUUAUUAGGGAAGAACAAACGUGUAAGUAACUGUGCACGUCUUGACGGUACCUAAUCAGAAAGCCACGGCUAACUACGUG